rnacentral:rRNA from 1 species
UACGAAGGGGGCUAGCGUUGCUCGGAUUGACUGGGCGUAAAGGGCGCGUAGGCGGCGUGUUAAGUCACUUGUGAAAUCUCUAAGCUUAACUUAGAACGGUCAAGUGAUACUGAUGUGCUAGAGUGCAGAAGGGGCAACCGGAAUUCUUGGUGUAGCGGUGAAAUGCGUAGAUAUCAAGAGGAACACCUGAGGUGAAGACGGGUUGCUGGGCUGACACUGACGCUGAGGCGCGAAAGCUAGGGUAGCAAACGGG